rnacentral:snRNA from 1 species
GAAUAUGAUGACAGUAUGGCUGUGAUAUCCCUCACCUCAUUCAGCUCCAGGGUGAAUGUGGCUAAUCUGACUGACUAGAUAAUUCCAUCCUUUAUCAGCACGCUGACAUGUCCCACUGGAAGAUGCACAUUGACCUGAGAGGGAGACCCUUCCCAAAGAGCGGAGGAACAAUGUUUUGUUUAGUGUAUAGGAGCAGCUGUGCUCCUCUGGAACCCUCGGUGAGGCUUGCAGGCCUCAUUUGUAGGAGCGCACAGUGUAGUCAAGAUUCCAAGACUCCAGACACAUCUAAAUGAAGCAUUGCAUGUGGAAGUCUGCUUUUCUAA